CCGGGCCAUUUACCGAUGUGGUUGUCCUCGAUGUGCUCGAUGAGGUCGGCCAGGGUGGGGAAGUGGAGUCCGCAGCCCCCGAAUCGGCAGCCACGGCAGAAAGGACGGUGCAUUGGUUAAGGCUAGAAGGAAUGGAAACUACGGCGAGGGAAAUGGUGACUCUUAUUUAAAAAGGAAGCGAUUUCAUCCUGUGAGCAUUUAAACCAUAAUGUUGACCAGAUCAUUAACCUUGGGGAAGUCGCUCAAUCUCUCUGACACUUCCUUACCUACACACUGGAUAUAACAGUACAGAUCCUAUCCAGCUUCUGGGGAUGAAAUGAAAUGCUGCAUGUGAAAACACACUGGAAACUAUAAAAUGCUAAUCAAAGAUGAGGUAUUACCAUUAUUAUCUCUGAAUCCAGUGCUACAAAUGCUAUGGCAUGUGGUCAUCUAACCAAAUUUUCUUAGAUUUUUUUGGAGGAGGAGGUGGGUGUUACAGUCUGGUGCAGCAAUAAGGUAGAGCUUGAAGUUAUAGGAAGGAAACUUUAAGUUGCCAACCAUUGCUAUUUCAGAGACAUCAUGAGGAUGUGAAAUCACUUUGGAGCAUACCUGCUUUAUUUUGAGAUGAGCCAUUUGAGUGGAUCCUUUUGAGUGAUGUAGACAUAGUAAGACACUUAUUAUUCUGGGGGAAGUACAACAGGUAUUGUUUUAGUUUUGGUUUUGGUUUGCUUGACUGGGGCUUGAGGUUUCAGCACUGCAGGCAGCUGGAAUCUUGCUGCCAAAAUGUUUGGUUCGGGAGGUGGGCAUGUGGCCAGAAAGUCCUAUCAGAAUUAAGUUCAGUGCUUUUAUCCAGUGGUUAUCUGCAUUUCUAUCCAGAUAAGCCUCUGCCUGCUCUCUUCUCAUCAUUUGAGAAGGAGGUACUUAGCCCAGUUGAUGCUGGCAGACAUCUUAAGACCAUGAGGGACUUCUGCCUGAGAACAAAGCCAACUUAGCAGAAUGCGGAAUUAAGAGACCUCAGAGAAACUGAACUGGAAUUCUGAUAGAACUGUGCUGGAAGCCCACAUUGGUCUUUGCUGUUACACGAUCCAGUUAUUCAUCUUUAUUGUACAAGCCAGUUUGUGUUGGGCUUUAGAGUACUAGAUAGUGACGGUGAAGUCAUCAUCCUAAAUGAUACAGAGUUUGAAGGUUUCUGGAGAAGGGGUGGGAAAGUUUACACAGUGUUCGGGGAGCUUACUGAGAGGCAGCUGCCUGUCUCCUAAUCUUUCUUAAUGAGGUUCACCGCAGUGAACCUGCCUCUGAUGGGCUAAGGUGGGGCCACGUAUGAUCAGCUGAUGGAGAGAACACUGCAGGAGGGAGGUCUGAGCUAUCACAGAGGAAGGAAGGCUGAACUGGGUCCUAGCAUUGGGGUAGGGCUGUGGAUAAAGCUGUGUCACUAAGUUGAUGGCCAUGGUAUAGUCCGUAAAUAUGCCUAUGUUCAGUUUUCACAGAUUCUGCCAAACCAUUUUCUAGAGCCAGGUUAGCAAUUUACAUACUCAUCAUCACUGGUUCAGAGUUCCCAGAGCAUUUUACAUUUACAUUGUCUAAAGGCUAAAUACAUUUCGAUUCUCUUAAGUUUUUUUUUUUUUUUUUUUUUUAAUGCAAGUAUAACAAAAGUGCCUGAAUACCUGCUGGUUCUAACCUAUUCUCCAUGAAAUAGGAAUAUCUUAGCACCCCCACCAAAAUUUGUCUUCCUGAUAUAGCAGUCAUGUGGGGAGAGGGAAGGGGAAGGAGUAUGCGGGGGGCAAAUGAUGAAGGGGUGGGUAAUGGUAGGGAAGGUUGUUUUCUGCACAAGUAGCAGCCAGUCAAAAACAUUUUAUUACACUUAGGUUGAUUCUGUGUCUUGGCUGUUGCAGAUAGUGCUGCAAUAAACAUGAGAGUGCACAUGUCUCUUUGACAUGCUGAUUGCAUUUCCUUUGAAUAUAUAUCCAGUAGUGAGAUUGCUAGAUCAUAUGGUAGUUGUAUUUUGAAUUUUUUGAGGA